UUGAACGCUGGCGGCAGGCCUAACACAUGCAAGUCGAGCGGUAGCACAGAGAGCUUGCUCUCGGGUGACGAGCGGCGGACGGGUGAGUAAUGUCUGGGAAACUGCCUGAUGGAGGGGGAUAACUACUGGAAACGGUAGCUAAUACCGCAUAAUGUCGCAAGACCAAAGUGGGGGACCUUCGGGCCUCAUGCCAUCAGAUGUGCCCAGAUGGGAUUAGCUAGUAGGUGGGGUAACGGCUCACCUAGGCGACGAUCCCUAGCUGGUCUGAGAGGAUGACCAGCCACACUGGAACUGAGACACGGUCCAGACUCCUACGGGAGGCAGCAGUGGGGAAUAUUGCACAAUGGGCGCAAGCCUGAUGCAGCCAUGCCGCGUGUGUGAAGAAGGCCUUCGGGUUGUAAAGCACUUUCAGCGGGGAGGAAGGCGUUAAGGUUAAUAACCUUGGCGAUUGACGUUACCCGCAGAAGAAGCACCGGCUAACUCCGUGCCAGCAGCCGCGGUAAUACGGAGGGUGCAAGCGUUAAUCGGAAUUACUGGGCGUAAAGCGCACGCAGGCGGUCUGUCAAGUCGGAUGUGAAAUCCCCGGGCUCAACCUGGGAACUGCAUUCGAAACUGGCAGGCUAGAGUCUUGUAGAGGGGGGUAGAAUUCCAGGUGUAGCGGUGAAAUGCGUAGAGAUCUGGAGGAAUACCGGUGGCGAAGGCGGCCCCCUGGACAAAGACUGACGCUCAGGUGCGAAAGCGUGGGGAGCAAACAGGAUUAGAUACCCUGGUAGUCCACGCCGUAAACGAUGUCGAUUUGGAGGUUGUGCCCUUGAGGCGUGGCUUCCGGAGCUAACGCGUUAAGUCGACCGCCUGGGGAGUACGGCCGCAAGGUUAAAACUCAAAUGAAUUGACGGGGGCCCGCACAAGCGGUGGAGCAUGUGGUUUAAUUCGAUGCAACGCGAAGAACCUUACCUGGUCUUGACAUCCACAGAACUUUCCAGAGAUGGAUUGGUGCCUUCGGGAACUGUGAGACAGGUGCUGCAUGGCUGUCGUCAGCUCGUGUUGUGAAAUGUUGGGUUAAGUCCCGCAACGAGCGCAACCCUUAUCCUUUGUUGCCAGCGGUUCGGCCGGGAACUCAAAGGAGACUGCCAGUGAUAAACUGGAGGAAGGUGGGGAUGACGUCAAGUCAUCAUGGCCCUUACGACCAGGGCUACACACGUGCUACAAUGGCAUAUACAAAGAGAAGCGACCUCGCGAGAGCAAGCGGACCUCAUAAAGUAUGUCGUAGUCCGGAUUGGAGUCUGCAACUCGACUCCAUGAAGUCGGAAUCGCUAGUAAUCGUAGAUCAGAAUGCUACGGUGAAUACGUUCCCGGGCCUUGUACACACCGCCCGUCACACCAUGGGAGUGGGUUGCAAAAGAAGUAGGUAGCUUAACCUUCGGGAGGGCGCUUACCACUUUGUGAUUCAUGACUGGGGUG
rnacentral:rRNA from 1 species